CCGCUUAGUCCAUUACUGUCCUUUCUCGAUCUUAUCUUAAUUCCUUCUAGAACACCGCACGUUAGUUUUCCAUCCUAAGUACAUGCGAGUUUCUUCCUUAUAAUUCGUUUCUUCUCUCAAUUUUUUUGCAUCAAAAUAUUACCUUUUUUUAUUUCUUUAUCAUUCUUACCCAUGCUAUGAUGUUAUAACAUUAAAUAUAAUAAUAUUACGUAUAUACUACUUUUUAAAACACAAGCAGGAGUGCUUCAUCAGGUAUAAAAGACGAGGUGAUAUUUGAUAAAGCAUGUACAUUGAGUGUUUUAAAUGGCUUAAAAACGACCCAUAUUUUAUGAGUUAGUGGCAAAGGAAUUUUAAAAAUCAACGUUGCAUGUCUAAACCGAGAAAACCAACGCUAAAAUUUAUGCAAAUUAAAAUGAUUUUAUAUCGCAUAUAAA